rnacentral:rRNA from 1 species
GAUGAACGCUGGCGGCGUGCCUAAUACAUGCAAGUCGAGCGAACAGACGAGGAGCUUGCUCCUCUGACGUUAGCGGCGGACGGGUGAGUAACACGUGGAUAACCUACCUAUAAGACUGGGAUAACUUCGGGAAACCGGAGCUAGUACCGGAUAAUAUGUUGAAUCGCAUGGUUCAACAGUGAAAGACGGUCUUGCUGUCACUUAUAGAUGGAUCCGCGCCGCAUUAGCUAGUUGGUAAGGUAACGGCUUACCAAGGCAACGAUGCGUAGCCGACCUGAGAGGGUGAUCGGCCACACUGGAACUGAGACACGGUCCAGACUCCUACGGGAGGCAGCAGUAGGGAAUCUUCCGCAAUGGGCGAAAGCCUGACGGAGCAACGCCGCGUGAGUGAAGAAGGUCUUCGGAUCGUAAAACUCUGUUAUUAGGGAAGAACAAAUGUGUAAGUAACUAUGCACGUCUUGACGGUACCUAAUCAGAAAGCCACGGCUAACUACGUG